rnacentral:misc_RNA from 1 species
CUGCGUAGCUAAAAGCAGAGUUCAGUUCACUUCUUCAGUCACUAUUUUCUUUUUGAAUUGGACGGUCCGGGAGUUGAAAUUGUCGCGGAAAUAUUGUUUGCCAAGAAUUUUGUUCCUCGAUUUGUUCAUUUUUGUUACAGUCUAGUCGAAAUUGUAGUGUGAAUUUUUGGUGUUGAGAAAUUUGUCAAGUCUACCCACCAUGCUGACGUACCGUAUCACAACUCAGCCCACAGACCUAGUAAGCUAGGAUCCGCUCUAGCUAGACUUCUAGACUUCCUGGAGUAUGAACUUGAAAAUUACAUAUAAAGUGUACCACAGUUUUCUAACGCGCUCCGUCAAAUUUGUGACAAUCACUUGGAUUGUGUAGUUUUUACAUUUUCGUGUGAAAUAACUAGUGUAGAAAAGUACAAUAGUGUUACAAAUAGUGUAAAAAAACUACACUAGUGAUGUACAAGAUUGUUAAAACAUUGUGCUGGAUAUUCGUGAUAUUAUUAUAGUUGGAGUUCGAUAGCUUUUUGUGUAGUCUUGAUUUGCCCAGCUGUUGAACAGACCAACUUCUAGUGGGACAUCAAAUCAAAAUAAAAUUGUUUCCAGCGAUUGAACCAAUUGACAGACUAUUAUUCGAAUCUGAUAUGAAUCAAGCUAGUGGACUGGACUAAUUCUUUGAUCUUCAAAUCUUUGUUUCAUCUUUUCAAGUGCUGCUGAUUAGAUAUUCAACUUGAUCUGAACCAUUGAAUCUCGUAACGGAAAGAAAGUGUUGUCUACAAUAAAAUAGAGGGACGUGAGUUUGCCAUUAAACAUCCACUGCAAGUUACCAUAACCUCAAAUCUUCACAAUUGACCUUGAGACGUCAGAAUCAGAAAUAAUCUUCAAACUUCAGAAAGGACGUCAACUUAAAAACUAUCCUUGAAACUUUGUAAAUGAAUACAAAGUCUUACAGAUAACCUUGAAACCUCAAGAAUUCCCUAACAAUAACCUCGAAACCUUCAGAAUAAUUACUUCAUAACCUACCUCAAAAACAUCAGAAUUAACUUGAAAACUCCAGAAGAACUUUGAGUUCUGGUGAAUAGUGGAAGAACAUUGAACUAGACCUAGAAACUCGACUGAACAUUGAAAGUGAGGUUAGUUCAACUAUUGGAAGCAAUCCCAACUGGCAACUGGAUUGAACAGCUGAGCUCUGUUUAGCAAAACUAUCUUCAGUUCUUCUGUGUUGAGUAUUUGUACACCAAUUGUUGACAGAAGCAUUUACACAAAACCUUCAGAGAUUCCACAACAGGUGUGAUAGAUAAAACUACAAUUCUACGACUGUAGAUCAGACCAAUCCUCAGUUCUUCAGUAUUAACUGUGUUGAAUAUUUGUACAACAGAAUCAUUCACGCAAACCAAUCUGAAAGUCUACAACAUCCCUUACAGUUGGUCAAACCAAUUCAGUUCUUCAGUAUCAACUGUGGUGAAUAUUUGUACAACAGAAUCAUUCACACAAAACAAUCUGAAAGUCUACAGAAUCUGUGAUAGAUAUUUGUGAGCCAAACUGUUCGCAUUUGUGCAAUAUCAAAGGUGUUGAAUAUUUGAGACUCAGCUGCUGAAAAGAAUAUUGAGCCUAAAUCUUGUUGUUUUGCAAGUAUGUUUUUGUGUGUGCAAAUUGGCGCCCAACAGGUGGGCCUGCUGAAAUAAAAUUUGAGGUUAGGUGGUUUGUGGUAAUUGAGGUUAGGUUUUCAUCCAGCAGCCUACCACACUCCCCAUCACAUGUGUAUAAGGUUUCACAGUUUUAUCUUGAACGAAGUACGGACUACCCGGAGAUCUAUAUUGAUAUCAAAUUUGGUACAUUCGCGCUGGCACUGUUACGAUUUUACAUCUCUAUUUCGUUAUGUGCUCUACGAAGAUCCUUUCGAGGUUUGGUGAUAAUUAACCAUUAAACAAUUCAACACCACCCCACAAACACUUAUUACCUUUGCAAUGCCAAGUGAUUAAUUAUUAUUAGUUAGACUACUUAAAUGUUUAUAGACUACUUAACAAUUGAUUAGUUCUACGCAUAAUUUCUGAUCUCAUUUAGUUUUUAUGUGAGAGGCACAAUGUGGUCUAGUUUUUUAUAUUUAUGGCUGUGCUUAUAGUUUAAGAAACAUCAAUUGUUUGUUUUGUACAGAGCUACCGGUUGCUAAAGUGAUCAGCAAUACAUAUUAUUAUAUAUAUACAGAAUAUAUAUAUAUAUUAUAGUAAUUUAGAGGGCGCUUCUGUGAUUUUUGAUCAGAGAAAUACUACCAUCAAAGGUGCAAUAUUUGAAGAGUUCUGGUGGAUCUACCAACUUGAAGACAAGAGAGGUGAAAAAAAGUUGGAAAAAUCUUGUGGAGCUCUCCAAAAAUAACCAGAAAAUUUUAGAAAAAAGUUCUAUCUAGAAGACAAGCAUCUAGCAAUAACAAGACCAUCAAGGUAGAAAAUAAGUUGAUGUGCAAGGAAUUGCAAGGAUUAUCUGGGUGAAUUGUCGAGAAACAGUCUUAGAUUUGAUACAGUUAUCAUCUAUUAGAGUUGUUUUUCAUAAGAGACUAUUUGUUGAACGUUGAAGAAUUAAUAACAUCCCAGUAUUAUUAGACCUGCAUUUCCCAAACAUUUGCACCUAUUUUUGAGGCACCUGAAGAUCUUCCCAACUUUGCCCAAAUUGGAGAAUCUCGCAUUCAUUCUUGAGGUACAAAAAACAUCCUUCAGCAUUUUCCAAUUAUCAGAUCUGCAGUUGCUGGUAAUUGCAGUUAAUUCGGUUUGUAGACUCUACUGAGAAUCUCAAGACUUUUCAACUAAAACAUCUGUAGUUUCUUCUGGAAUUUGACUCGGAGGGGGCAAUACAACAUAUAACUUCUGAGGCCCCAAAAGUUUCCUUCUACCAGAACAUCUGCUGUAUUUUCUGGAAUUUUACUCUGCAGCAAUAGAACCCAUAACUUCUGAAGGACCAAAAGUGUUAUUCUACCAGAACAUCUGCAGCUUCUUCAGGAAUUUGACUUGAGGGAAUACAACCUAUAGCUGCUGAAACACCAAAAAGGUUCUUCAACCAAACCAUCUGCAGUUUCCUCUAGGAUUUGUCACCAAGGCAAUUCUACGCUAAAGCAAGUGGGAAUGGUAUACCUGUUGGAUGAUUGGGGUAUGGGAGAUUCUCAACUGUUGAGAACCAGCAAUAGCUCAGUGCACCAUUUGCAAGUCCAGCACAAUGUUGUCAGCAACUCGUUCCUCAACCAUCACCAUCAUCAUCAGCAGCAGCAGCAUGGAAACCGCAGACAUCUGGACUCGGAUGACUUUGGACAUGAUGCCGAUGACGAUGAUGAUGGAGAGGAUGAUGAGGAAGAGGAGGAGGAUGAUGAGAUAUCACUGUUUCCCCUGAAGAAUCAGGUUGGAGGACAUACUAGACUUUUGCUACUAGAUCAGUCUACAAUAUGCAAACCUCUCAACCCGAGGGAGCUGCACUUUUACCAGAACAUUCCUCACGACAUUCAGAUGUUUGUUCCAAAGUACAAGGGUGUAAUGCAGGCGACAAGCAGUGGCAACAUGAAGCUUGACAAACGCUACUCGCCACAUUUCCGGCAAUCGGAUGGCAACCGACGCAGCAAACGUGACGCAAACGGAGACGUACUGCGCAUGCGCGUCACUAGUCGAGUGAUGACGUCACCGCCGCCGCCAGAUAGCGCCAACAAGCAGUACUUCCUGCUGUUGGAGAACAUCACGUCGACUUACAGCAACCCGUGCAUCCUGGACCUGAAGAUGGGAACUCGGCAACAUGGGGAUGACGCGUCGGCCGAGAAGAGAUCAAAGCAGAUGGCCAAAUGUGCCGCUAGCACCUCGGCGUCGCUGGGAGUCCGGCUGUGCGGAAUGCAGGUGUACCAAGCCGACACGGACAGCUAUAUCAAACGGGACAAGUAUUGGGGGAGAGAAUUGGACGAGGGAGGUCUUAAGAGUGCUCUCUAUAGGUUUUUCCACAACGGGUAUUCAUUGAGGCGGUCGGCAGUGCAGAGAGUGAUCGGCAGACUGGAAAAGCUCAGACGGGUCAUUGAGAAGCAGAGUAGCUAUCGAUUCUAUUCAUGCUCUCUGCUUGUAGUCUACGACGGCAGUAUACGGCCUCCUCACUCCUCCUCACUGUUGGACCUGGAUCCCAGUGACGAUGGUACCCGUGAUUCUGAGGAGGAGGAAGAGGAUGAGGAGGAGAGUGCAGGAGGGAGUAGUGGAGGGGAUGAUUUGCUGAAACAUGGGAGAUUUGGAGAGACUGCCGCUCGUUCAUUUUAUCCUAUAUCUGAAGAGACUAUGGAUGUUAGUGCGAUGUCAAGUAGUCCAUCAUCACCAUACACAAUGUCGCCGAUGUCAGUUGACAGCAACAACUGUUGGUACCACCCGAAUGGGCGUGGUCAUGGUGGGGGGCGUGGCUUGGGAGGCGUGGCUUCAGCCGCUCUAACUGACUCCGCCCCUCAUUUGCACCGCAGCAGCCGCCAUCUUGGCGAGGAGUGUUCCUCUUCAGAAGAUGCAUCUUCAUCAUCGCUCAGCACAUUUAAUCUGCUGACAUCGCAGACAACAAUGGCUGCUGCCAAGCGACGCAACGAUGUGAUGUUACACAGAAUGGAGGAAGAAGACGAUGACAGCAAUCAAUGCGACACCCUCUACCAUAAGUCCAAACCCAUCUGCGACACUCUUCCUUCGACAAAACGCAAAUGCUCCGACAACCUGGCACCACACCAGGUCACCGACAAACUGUUACCCUAUCAGGACAAACUAUUCCACCACCUUGACACAGUCCCCGACAAACUGUUACCACUCCAGGACACCGACAAACUGUUCUACAAUCCCGACAAACUAAUUCACCACCUUGAAUCAGUCCCCAACAAGUUGUUACCCCUUCAGGACACCGACAAACUGUUCCACCACCUUGACACAGUCCCAGACAAACUUGAGGAACCGGACCAGUUGCCCACUAGGUCACUGCCCACCAAUGUACCCAAGACCAAUAAUCGUAGAGUGGUGGCCAGAUCGAACACAGCUCUUGCAAUCGAGCCGCAAGUCGAUGUCAGAGUGAUUGAUUUUGCGCACACCACAUUCAGUACAAGGCGUGGAUCGUCAACUGCUGGAAGUGCAUUGAAUAAUGGGACGGUCCAUCAUGGGCCAGAUUGUGGAUUCUUGACCGGGUUGGAUAGUUUGAAGCGGUUGUUGAUGGAGAUACUGAGCGAUGAUGCCGAGCUGUAGAGGGUUGUUGAGUAGGUUUUGAGGUUAUGUGAGGAAAUUUUGAGGUUAGGUAAGGAAAUUUAAAGGUUGGGAUUUGGUUGAGACAAGUUGUGGGGAAAUUUUGAGGUUUAGUGAGGAGAUUUGAAGGUUGGGAUUGAGUUGAGACAAGUCAUGCAAGGAAAUUUUGAGGUUAGAUGAAGAGAUUUAAAGGUUGGGAUUUGGUUGAGACAAGUUGUGGGGAAAUUUUGAGGUUUAGUGAGAAGAUUUUGAAGGAUGGGAUUGAGUUGAGACAAGUUAUGUGAGGAUAUUUUGUGGUUAGGUGAGGAGAUUUGAAGGUUGGGAUUGAGUUGAGACAAGUCAUGCAAGGAAAUUUUGAGGUUAGGUGAGGAGAUUUAGAUGUUUGGAUUUGAUUGAGACAAGUUAUGUAAGAAAAUUUUGAGGUUAGGUGAGGAGAUUUAAAGGUUGGGAUUUGGUUGAGACAAACUAUGUGAGGAAAUUUUGAGGUUAGGUGAGGAGAUUUAAAGGUUGGGAUUUGGUUGAGACAAGUUGUGAGGAAAUUUUGAGGUUAGGUGAGGAGAUUUAGAUGUUGGAAUUGAGUUGAGUCAAGCAAGUUAUGUGUGGAAAUUUGAGGUUAGGUGAGAAGAUUUAAAGGUAGGGAUUGAGUGGGGACAAUUCGAGGUUAGGUUAGAAGAUGGAAGUUGUUGUGGAAUUGGAUAUGUUGAAACAAUAUCAUGGAGAAAAGAUAGCAUAAGAAGAUAUGUCGUGGUAUAGGCCGUGAAAUACAAGUUGAUGAAUUUGUUAAUGGAGGUAUUGAGUGGUGAUCCUAAAUUGAAGAGAUCAUCAAUAAUCAAUCAAUAAUAUUCUUUCAACUCAAUGCAAAACACACAAAAUAAAUCAAAAUUGGGUUGAGUUUCUUCGAGGUUGAGUAUGAGACUAGAAGAUGGCCUACAUUAUUUUUGGAGUUUGAAAGAAACUGCAAUGUAUUUUGAGGUAAAGUGGUAUGUAAAUGUAUUAGAAGUUUCAUGACAUUUUGGUGGUUUGAGGUUAGGUAUGAUGAUAGAACGGAAUCUGGUGUUCAAAUUUUGGAAGAGAGAGAGAGAAGGUUUUGAAAGAGGAGGAGAAAUUUUGGAAGGAAGAAAGAGAAAUUUUGGAAGGAAGAAAGAGAAAUUUUGGAAGGAAUAAAGAGAAAUUUUGGAAGGAAGAAAGAGAAAUUUUGGAAGGAAGAAAGAGAAAUUUUGGAGUUUGAGAAGAGUUCAUAGGUUUGGAGAAAGUACCUUAGAAAGAAGUCUAAGAGAGGUUUGAGAUGAAGGCUAUAAACCAUCAACACAAUUUUUUGAAAUUUUCAUGAGCUUUAGAGAGUUUAUGCCAAGAGAUAACCUCAAACUGUAGUGCAAAUAAUUGGAAAUAUUUUGGAAAAUGGAGAGAUUUGUAUAAAAUGAGGUAGUUGAAGGAAUAUUUUUGAAAACAGUUGAUAACCGAGGGUAAGAAAAAUGGUUUUGUAUGAUAUUAGAUGGGAUAACUAUUUUUGAAUGUAGGUACAACAUGAUUUGACUGAAAAUUAUGAAGCUAUGAAAAAGGAUAGUCAAUUUGUAGAUAAGGGCCCUGUUAUAUC